rnacentral:rRNA from 1 species
UACGUAGGGUGCAGGCGUUAAUCGGAAUUACUGGGCGUAAAGCGGGCGCAGGCGGUUUCUUAAGUCAGAUGUGAAAGCCCCGGGCUUAACCUGGGAACUGCGUUUGAAACUGGGAGACUUGAGUGUGGCAGAGGGGGGUGGAAUUCCACGUGUAGCAGUGAAAUGCGUAGAGAUCGGGAGGAAUACCAGUGGCGAAGGCGGCCCGCCGGGCCGAGCCUGACGCUGAGACGCGAAGGCGCGGGGAGCGAACGGG